rnacentral:rRNA from 1 species
AUUGAACGCUGGCGGAAUGCUUUACACAUGCAAGUCGAACGGCAGCACGGGGGCAACCCUGGUGGCGAGUGGCGAACGGGUGAGUAAUACAUCGGAACGUGCCCAGUCGUGGGGGAUAACGUAGCGAAAGUUACGCUAAUACCGCAUACGAUCUACGGAUGAAAGCGGGGGACCGUAAGGCCUCGCGCGAUUGGAGCGGCCGAUGUCAGAUUAGGUAGUUGGUGAGGUAAAGGCUCACCAAGCCGACGAUCUGUAGCUGGUCUGAGAGGACGACCAGCCACACUGGGACUGAGACACGGCCCAGACUCCUACAGGAGGCAGCAGUGGGGAAUUUUGGACAAUGGGCGCAAGCCUGAUCCAGCCAUUCCGCGUGCAGGACGAAGGCCUUCGGGUUGUAAACUGCUUUUGUACGGAACGAAAAGGCUCUGGUCAAUACCUGGGGCUCAUGACGGUACCGUAAGAAUAAGCACCGGCUAACUACGUGCCAGCAGCCGCGGUAA